rnacentral:rRNA from 1 species
UACGUAGGGUGCAAGCGUUGUCCGGAUUUAUUGGGCGUAAAGGGUGCGCAGGCGGCGCGGUAAGUCGGGUGUGAAAUCUUGGAGCUUAACUCCGAAACUGCAUUCGAUACUGCCGUGCUUGAGGACUGGAGAGGAGACUGGAAUUUACGGUGUAGCGGUGAAAUGCGUAGAUAUCGUAAGGAAGACCAGUGGCGAAGGCGGGUCUCUGGACAGUUCCUGACGCUGAGGCACGAAGGCCAGGGGAGCAAACGGG